rnacentral:rRNA from 1 species
UUCCUACGGGGGGCAGCAGUGAGGAAUAUUGGUCAAUGGGAGAGAUCCUGAACCAGCCAAGCCGCGUGAGGGAAGACGGCCCUAUGGGUUGUAAACCUCUUUUGUCGGAGAACAAAACCCGGGACGUGUCCCGGACUGCGUGUAUCCGAAGAAAAAGCAUCGGCUAACUCCGUGCCAGCAGCCGCGGUAAUACGGAGGAUGCGAGCGUUAUCCGGAUUUACUGGGUGUAAAGGGCGCGUAGACGGCGCGGCAAGUCUGAAGUGAAAGGCAGGGGCUUAACCCC